rnacentral:rRNA from 1 species
AAGGGCACCACAAGAACGCGUGGAGCAUGUGGCUUAAUUUGACUCAACGCGGGAAAUCUUACCGGGUCCGGACACACUGAGGAUUGACAGGCAAUCAUGUGAACAGCUUUUUCUCUUUUUUUACGGAUCGAGUUUAGAGCGUUCGCAUAUAAAUAUGCUAGUCCUUUCAUGAUUAUGUGAUAGGUGGUGCAUGGCCGUUCUUAGUUCGUGGAGUGAUCUGUCUGCUUAAUUGCGUUUCGCAAUGGACUUAAUAACAAGUUGCGCUCUUCUUUUCUUUGUGGAACUUUUAUCUGUUUUCUGAUAGCUUUUAGCGAGUUUUAACGUUUGAUGUUUUUACCCCAGUUUCGGCUGCGCGUGUAAUUAUGUUGGACUAUUGCUUUUAUGCACGUCGGGAGACUCUUGGUAGAAUUCUGCUAUUUAUAUGGGAAGGAUUAGUGCACAUUGAGUCCUGAAAGCAACGAACGUGACCGCAUCCUUUUGUUGCCUUCUAACUAAACCACUAUGGUCUUAUUUUGUUUGGACGAUUUUUCUGUAAUUUAUUAUGGAGGGAUUGUUCGGAUGAGAUUUGGUCGGUUUUAACAAAGGAGGCUCUAUUCUUUUUAUUAGGAAUAAAACUAAAGGGACCGCUGCGACUUUUUUAAACCAGAGGAAGGUUGCGGCAAUAACAGGUCUGUGAUGCCCUUAGAUGUUCCGGGCUGCACACGUGCUACAAUGAUUAUUGCAGUAAGCAUCUCAUUUCAAAAACGCCGUUUUUUAUAGAUUUUUUGUAGCUUUUUUUUAGUUUACGCUGAAGGAAGGUUAUGAAUGUUAUAUAAUCAGUAAAUUUCGGCUUAGCCUGCUUCGAAAGUUAGCAGGUAAUCACUUGGAAGUAAUGAUUUCCCUUAAUUCAAAAUUUAUUUUUUGUUUUUGCGAGCACACAAUGCGCUGCUCUUUGUCCGGCUUGGGUAGCAAUUACGUCUACUUUUAGCUAUACGGCAGAGAUGUUCCUUUAUUUUUUUUUACAAAAGAUUAGGAAUUUACAGCGUGUGCUUUUUGUCAAUUCAUGGUGGGGACAGACCAUUGUUAAUUAUUGGUCUCGGUCUUAACUAGGAAUGCCUUGUACGGGUCUUUGGUUCAACAAACCACCCGGAAUACGUCCCUGCCCUUUGUACACACCGCCCGUCGCUCUUACCGAUGGACUUCUCUGUGAGUUUGAGGGACUGGGUACCUUAGCUGUUGGCGAUUAAGAGAUUUUACGGUCUCGAGGUCAAUCUGACACUAUAAACACUUAUGGAAACUUAAACGAACAGUGUGGUCUAAAGGAAAGAGAAGUCGAACAAGGCA